GACGAACCGUGCGAACGUUGUUCGGAAUCACUGGGCUUAAAGGGCGCGUAGGCGGGUCUCUAAGUCUGGAGUGAAAGCCCACGGCUCAACCGUGGAAGCGCUUCGGAUACUGGGGGCCUCGAGGGAGGUAGGGGCGUGCGGAACUUCCGGUGGAGCGGUGAAAUGCGUAGAUAUCGGAAGGAACACCGGUGGCGAAAGCGGCGCGCUGGACCUCUUCUGACGCUGAGGCGCGAAAGCCAGGGGAGCAAACGGG
rnacentral:rRNA from 1 species